rnacentral:rRNA from 1 species
AUUGAACGCUGGCGGCAUGGCUAAAACAUGCAAGUCGCACGAGAAGCCCCUUCGGGGGUGGACAGUGGCGAAAGGGCGAGUAACGCAAUCGUACGUACCCCAAGGUGGGGGAUAGCCGGUGGAAACGCCGAGUAAUACCCCAUGUGCUCUACGGAGGAAAGCUUCGGCGCCUCGGGAGCGGCGAUUGUCCUAUCAGGUUGUUGGUGAGGUAACGGCUCACCAAGCCGAAGACGGGUAGCGGGUGUGAGAGCAUGACCCGCCGCAUCGGGACUGAGACACUGCCCGGACUCCUACGGGAGGCUGCAGUAACGAAUAUUCCGCAAUGGGCGCAAGCCUGACGGAGCAAUGCCGCGUGUAGGAUGAAUCGGCUUCGCCGUGUAAACUACUGUCAGGGUGCAGGAACACUGACCGCACCCAGAGGAAGGACCGGCUAAUUCCGUGCCAGCAGCCGCGGUAAUACGGAAGGUCCAAGCGUUAAUCGGAAUCACUGGGCUUAAAGCGUCCGCAGGCGGUCUGGUAGGCAUCCCGUGAAAGCCCACGGCUCAACCGUGGAACCGCGGGGUGAACCAUCAGACUUGAGGAAGGUAGGGGUCAACGGAACGAUGGGUGGAGCGGUGAAAUGCAUAGAUAUCCAUCGGAACGCCAAAGGCGAAGGCAGUUGACUGGGCCUUUCCUGACGCUCAUGGACUAAAGCGUGGGGAGCGAACGGGAUUAGAUACGCCGGUAGUCCACGCCGUACACGAUGCGCACUAGGUCGCGGUACCUCUCACGGUUUCGCGGCCGAAGUAAAAACGUUGAGUGCGCCGCCUGGGGAGUACGGUCGCAAGACUAAA